rnacentral:autocatalytically_spliced_intron from 1 species
GAAGUUCGGUGAAUACAUUCACCGAAUAUGUUAAACCUAAUCUAUUACCCUCUAUGGAAUAUAAACUUCCGUGAUGACCCCGUAUCGACUGAUCCCGAAAGGGUGAGAUAGAAGGUACCUGAUAAUCAGGAAAAUAUACUUCUAUCAUACGCCGACUCCUACUCUUAGCCGUAUGGCUAGGACAAGAGGAAGAAGAUAUAGUCAGUGCAGUCUAGAGAUAGAUUG